rnacentral:rRNA from 1 species
AACAGAGGGAAGCAAGACCGCGAGGUGGAGCAAAUCCCUAAAAGCCAUCCCAGUUCGGAUUGCAGGCUGCAACCCGCCUGUAUGAAGUUGGAAUCGCUAGUAAUCGCGGAUCAGCAUGCCGCGGUGAAUACGUUCCCGGGCCUUGUACACACCGCCCGUCAAGCCAUGGGAGCCGGGGGUGCCUGAAGUUCGUGACCGCAAGGAGCGACCUAGGGCAAAACUGGUGACUGGGGCUAAGUCGUAACAAGGUACC